rnacentral:rRNA from 1 species
AUUGAACGCUGGCGGCAUGCCUUACACAUGCAAGUCGAACGGUAACAGGUCUUCGGAUGCUGCCGCGUGGCGAACGGGUGAGUAAUACAUCGGAACGUGCCCGCUCGUGGGGGAUAACGAGGCGAAAGCUUUGCUAAUACCGCAUACGAUCUACGGAGGAAAGCGGGGGAGCUUCGGACCUCGCGCGGACGGAGCGGCCGAUGGCAGAUUAGGUAGUUGGUGGGAUAAAAGCCUACCAAGCCGACGAUCUGUAGCUGGUCUGAGAGGGUGAGCAGCCACACUGGGACUGAGACACGGCCCAGACUCCUACGGGAGGCAGCAGUGGGGAAUUUUGGACAAUAGGCGAAAGCCUGAUCCAGCCAUGCCGCGUGCAGGAUGAAGGCCUUCGGGUUGUAAACUGCUUUUGUACGGAACGAAAAGCCUCUUUCUAAUAAAGAGGGGUCAUGACGGUACCGUAAGAAUAAGCACCGGCUAACUACGUG